GAUAAACGCUGGCGGCGUGCAUAACACAUUCAAGUCGAACGGGAAUCUGAUGAUUGAGACUUCGGUUGAUUGAUUCAGAGGAUAGUGGCGGACGGGUGAGUAACGCGUGAGCAACCUGCCUCUGUGAGGGGAACAACGCAUGGAAACGUGCGCUAAUACCGCAUAACGCAUACUUAUUGCAUGGUAGGUAUGUUAAAGGAGCAAUCCGCAUAGAGAUGGGCUCGCGUCUGAUUAGAUAGUUGGUGAGGUAACGGCUCACCAAGUCGACGAUCAGUAGCCGGACUGAGAGGUUGAACGGCCACAUUGGAACUGAGAAACGGUCCAGACUCCUACGGAGGCAGCAGU
rnacentral:rRNA from 1 species